GUGGGAGGUAACACCGUCGGGGCGACCGUGGCUCGCUGCGCUCCCCCGCCCCUCGCGGAGCACCAGGACCUCCGUCCGCUACGGCGCUAUUAUUAUUAAUCAUUAUUAUUGUUAUUUAAGCAGCGGCACCCUGCACCCUCCGGGGCAGCCGUUAGGAGCCGGCCUGUCACCCUGGGGCAGCCGUUAGGAGCCGGCCUCUCACCCCUGGGGCUGCUGUUAGGAGCCGGCCCGUGACGCCGGGGCAGCCGUUGGGAGCCGGCCUGAGGCAGCGCUGGCGGCUACCUCCUGCCUCCGCCUUGGGGUGUCGGGGCUGUGCAGGCGUGGGCGCCGCUCAUAACCUCGGGGCUUCUCUGUUCUCAUCUGAGAUUCGCUUUUUUAUUCAUUAAAAAGUGAAGACAGCCGGUAUCACUUUUUAUUCCCUAAAUGGGCUAUAUCCACCUUCUGGGGCAUAUCAUGCUUUUUUUCCCAUUAAUUUCUUUUUUUCCCUUAUUAUUUAAAAACCUUUGAGCAUAUAUGCACUGUAUCAGCAGUUUGAAUAAGUUAAUCUGUCGAUUGCCUUUGUUUUCUUGAAAAUCUCCCCAAAAUCGUGUGAAGAUGAGCUCCUAGAAACUGUGGUAACUCUUGACUUUUUUAUCAGAACUAAAGUGAAUUUUGAGUAUCCAUCGCACUUACUGGCACCCUUUUCUUACUAAAUAACCUGACAGCGGCAGCCUCAGCUGUUGGCAGUGGUGUUGCAUGAGUUGCUGGUUUAUGCAGCAAGAGAGAGUGAAAGGAAAAAGCUGUAUGUGCAUAAGUUUGUGUAUUGGCUUUGUACUUUUGCUGUCAAAAGGACACUAAUGUGCACUGGUGAGAUCAUAGCCUGCCGGUGAUCAAAGGAACGGUGCAAUAAAACUUCAGCCCUCCAGUGAAUUUUUAUUUAAAGUAACAAACUUGACUGGAAAGCUUUUUCAUGUGGUUUUUCGGCCACUGCCACAGAAGCAGUUUUAAACAAAUGUCAUCUUCACCUUCUACAGCAGCUUGGCUUCUUAGGGCUAUCCUAUGUUAAUAUUUUUACCACGUGCUGUCAUAAAAUAAGAGUAACCAAAGACUUGCAGGACAGUAUUUCCUUCUUUAGGUGUCUGGCACCAUAGCUCAUAACAAGAAUACACUGUACUGAGCAUUUACGUUUGCUUAGUGGCAUGUAAGGAAUUUAGAGAGAAUGCAGAGAAAUAAUUUAGGAAUAAAACCCUUUUCUAAUUUUGGAGCAUUUGCGGCAAAUAAAUAAACUUUUAGAUUUGGACCAUAGAUUGCAGGGGAGGAGGGCUUGACAGCAACACUAGUAACCAAGGCUUUGAAAGAAGGAUAUACUUUGGCAACCGGAGAGCCCACUCAUCCGUGACCACUUCUCUCUUUACACAACAGUAAGCCUCUUCAUAUGACAAGUCUAAAUCUAUUAGCCUUGACCAAGUAAUAUAUCAAUCAGCUGAUGUAAUAAGGGAAAAUCCUAAUCUGUGUUUAGAAGAUACUCUGUGAGUAUAUGGUAGCUGUUGACCAACAAAAACCACUAGCAUGCAAAUUUAUGAUCCUCCCAGAAAUAAAUCCUCAUUUGUAUUUUUUAUAAGACAGUUUGGCUGAAGAGCUGCUAUUAAAACUUGAAGUGAAAAAUAUAAUAGUGUGAAAGUUGAGGGAUUAUUUACACACAAAGCCGUUUAUCUUACUAAAUACACAAAAAAUGUUCUUAGGCUUUCAGCAUCUAACAUAUGAACACAAAUUGCAAUUUAAUGGGUUCAGAACAAUGGAGGCAUGGUGUGGUACUUUCUGUCAUCUUGAAAAUUGUUGAAGUGUUAAUUUAGAACAAAUAUGUAUGCUGGAAUUGCUUAGAAGGACACCACUGAGACAAAAUAAAUAAGCGCUUUCUGCAUCCUAGAGUUUAUCAAAAUCUUGUUUGUUGUAGAUAUAUGUCUCAUGUCUUUGGGUUCACCUUGCAGUCUUUAGCAUUUGGUCCCAUUUUAAAUUAUUUGCUUAGGGGUCUGUCUCUUGGUCUUGAAAGAGAGGAAGUCUCUCUUUGUAGAUACUUCAUGUCCUUGAUAAAAACAGGUCUUUUUUUCCUGUUUUCUUAGUUGUAUUCACUCUUCUUCCAGUGUCUGGGGUAUUCUCUGGGCUUGCAAGGACUCAACAUUUGCUCACAUGCUGUGGCAUUGUGCCCAGCAAUUCUUUGGAUGUUCAUUAACAUAAGGGGGACCAUAAAGAGCAAGGACUCCAGGUGAAGCACGACCACAAGUAAUAAGUAUUUUAUUACUCUUACGUUGCAAUAUCUCAGCCUAAUUCACUAUAGCCUGGCACUAUAUAUCAUACUACAUAUGCUUUGGGUUCACAACUAUGUUGCUGUCUUACAGCUUCCAGUCUCUUGAUGCCCCAUCAGUCACAGAAGAGCCGCAGUGCGGGCACCCCCGUCUCUCCAGGUGGCCGGAGCAGAGUCCACGCGUGCACAAGAUGGCGUUAAUCUCUUUGAUACUUCCCCUCGUUACUCUUCCCCAGUAGCAGCGGUUUAAACCACUCACAAGCCGAACUGCGUUUCAUCCAAUCAUGUUCUGUUGUUCCCUUGUGAUUUGCUUGCUUUUGCUUCUUAUCACUCUAUUCCCACAUAGUUCUACCAGAGUUAACAGUUUCUGCAGUGUCAUUUCACCCCUUAUCACUGUAUUCCCACACAGCUCUGCAGUGUGGUACCCCAGCUUGAAGGCACCCCAGGUGGUUGCCAACUGGUGAGACGCACCCACGCCGUCUGCUGCAGUAAGGGCUGUGCUCUCCUUGAGGCCCACCCUUGCCUGCAGGCCUGUGACACAUAUUGUAACAUAAAGACGAUGCCAUAAUUUUCUGAAGGAGGUCAAAUUUUGUGAAGCAUCUAUCAAAUCCACUUAGCACAAAAUAUUAAUUACCAUUUAGAAACCAGAAGUGAUACAUUAGCUGCAAUUCACAAAGAAUGCAAAUACUCUAAAGGAAAUAGGUAUGUCCUUGAAGCCACCUUUUCUUUUCUUUUUUUUUUCAACGUUAACCUCAACUGAAAUUGGACAAUAAAACAUUUUUUCCUGCUGUGUAACUUCUGAAACAGCAAUUGAUUCUGUAGACUUAACCAGGCUAAUGAGAAGCCAGUCCUUCCUUUCUUCUUUUUCCAGGGCUGCAAACUUUUUCAAAACAGUAGCAGUGAAGUUAUAUGAAAGUUUGAACCCACAGGAAGAUCUGCCACCCUUUUCUCUGAUGCAUAUAUGGCUACAGCAUGGCUUGGCUUCUUUCUUUAAUUCCACAAAUGAAAAGAAAACACACACUAGAACUGGCAGAUUAAAUGUCAGGCAGCAAUUUUAUUGCAUCACAAAUUUCCAUGUAUAAACAGGGUUCCUCCCAUUUUAACCAGGGUCAGGGAAAACCAAGAUCCUUUUGUUCAGGUAAAUAUUAAGUAAACUGUAAGACACCCAAGUCCAUAGGGAAUUUGCAGAUCUCAGUUCAUCUUCCAAAGUGCAAAUCCAUCUGCCUGUGUCCAGGCAGUAACUCCUAAAAAUUGAGUGUCAGCGCAGCAGCCCAAAUAUCAAUUACAUGGGGCAUAGAGGUGCCCAGGAGCACACUUCUACCCAGCCUGCCCCCGGGCCUGUCCGCGGGCAUGUGUCACCAACCACCCUCACACAGGGGCACAUCCUAAGCCGUGGCUGCCUUUCCCUCCUCUCGUGUUGUCCUAGACAGAGCCCGCAGCUGGGAGGGAGCAGCAGUGUCCCGGACAGGCUCCCCAAAGGAGUGCUGUCAGGAUGAUGGCUGCCUCCAAUGAACGUGCUUCUGGGAAGCCUGGGCACUGUAUCCUAAAUGUGAGAAUUUUCUCUUUAUUGCACAGAUCAGACACCGGGGAAAAUAUUUUGAUGCUUCAAUUCUUUCCUGGCAAGCCCCUGCACCAGCUUGCCAUGAGAUAAUGCAACUUGCUGUGUUUAAACUAUUCCUAGCAAACACCUUGUUAAUGGACUUUUUGGUAAUACUGUUGCUAAUGUGCCAUUCUAUGUAUUUCAUGGUGAGUAGGUAUCCAUGUAACCAUACAGAUACCGCUUUUAAGUGAAUGAGGAGGAAAACAGUUAAUUUCUUUAUUAAACAGGAAAAUCUGAUUUUACAAAAUAGAGCGUGGAUUCGGGUAAAAGGUGUUUUCUUUUGUAAGGUGAUUAUGUAGAUGCUUUCUCAGAGUUUUAAUGCUGUGAAUUUUCACUAAGAAGUCUAGCAAAAUGUUUGGUUUUGUACAGAUUCAAAAUACUAUAUCAGUGCAACAGAAGUUAAACAACAUAGAUGAUCCUUGAAGAAAAGAUUCAUGAAGAAGAGGCCUAAAAAUGCUACAGGCUUUAAAACUUGACUUGAAGGAACAUCUGCUUUGCAAGGGGAAACUUGGGUGCCUUAAAGUGCUUUGUAGGAUGUGAAGUUAAAACACCUCAUGGUCACUAAAUCGAUGUUGAAACUGGGUUCAGAGAUCUCAGAAAUUCCUUGAAUAUAACCCUCUUGGUUUUCUUUCACAGGAGAGCAUGAGGCCUCACGUGCUCACUCAACCAAGUGAUAGAGAGCAAAAGCAAGGAAAGUGACUGAAGGUUGGAGGCCAUAAUCCCCGGGUGGCUUCUAUUCACAUCUGCUCUUUUCCACGGGGAAGCGUAUUACCACAGAAUCCGCCUAUCGCUGCCCCUUGCAAAUGAAGGACAGAGUGACAUCUCCUGUGAAAUACAAAUGAAAAGGAUCACAACACCAAGUUAAAUAGUAACUCACUUCCUGUUCUCAUCCAAGACACCUGUGAAGCAGAGAACACUCCUGACCUUUUCACAUGGACAAAAUAGGACUUUGCAUGUUUUGCUAAUAGCUUUUAAAUAAAAACAUCUCCCUCUUUUUUGA